ACGAACGCUGGCGGCGUGCCUAAUCCAUGCCAGUAGAACGCUGAAGAGAGGAGCUUGCUCUUCUUGGAUGAGUUGCGAACGGGUGAGUAACGCGUAGGUAACCUGCCUUGUAGCGGGGGAUAACUAUUGGAAACGAUAGCUAAUACCGCAUAACAAUGGAUGACCCAUGUCAUUUAUUUGAAAGGGGCAAAUGCUCCACUACAAGAUGGACCUGCGUUGUAUUAGCUAGUAGGUGAGGUAACGGCUCACCUAGGCGACGAUACAUAGCCGACCUGAGAGGGUGAUCGGCCACACUGGGACUGUGACACGGCCCAGACUUCUACGGGAGGCAGCCGUAGGGGAUCUUCGGCAAUGGGGGGAACCCUUACCGAACAACGCCGCGGGAGUGAAGAAGGUUUUCGGAUCGUAAAGCUCUGUUGUAAGUCAAGAACGAGUGUGGGAGUGGAAAGUUCACACUGUGACGGUAGCUGACCAGAAAGGGACGGCUAACUACGUG
rnacentral:rRNA from 1 species